GACGAACGCUGGCGGCGUGCUUAACACAUGCAAGUCGAACGGAAAGGCCCUGCUUUUGUUGGGUGCUCGAGUGGCGAACGGGUGAGUAUCACGUGAGUAACCUGCCCUUGUCUUUGGGAUAACUUCAGGAAACUGGGGCUAUUAUCGGAUAGGAGCUCCUGCUGCAUGGUGGGGGUUGGAAAGUUUCGGCGGUUGGGGAUGGACUCGCGGCUUAUCAGCUUGUUGGUGGGGUAGUGGCUUACCAAGGCUUUGACGGGUAGCCGGCCUGAGAGGGUGAACGGCCACAAUGGGACUGAGAUACGGCCCAGACUCCUACGGGAGGCAGCAGUGGGGAGUAUUGCACAAUGGGCGGAAGCCUGAUGCAGCAACGCCGCGUGCGGGAUGACGGCCUUCGGGUUGUAAACCGCUUUCGCCUGUGACGAAGCGUGAGUGACGGUAAUGGGUAAAGAAGCACCGGCUAACUACGUG
rnacentral:rRNA from 1 species